rnacentral:rRNA from 1 species
AAUGAACGCUGGCGGCAUGCCUAACACAUGCAAGUCGAACGAAGGCUUCGGCCUUAGUGGCGCACGGGUGCGUAACGCGUGGGAAUCUGCCCUUGGGUUCGGAAUAACUCAGAGAAAUUUGAGCUAAUACCGGAUGAUGACGAAAGUCCAAAGAUUUAUCGCCCAAGGAUGAGCCCGCGUAGGAUUAGCUAGUUGGUGAGGUAAAGGCUCACCAAGGCGACGAUCCUUAGCUGGUCUGAGAGGAUGAUCAGCCAAACUGGGACUGAGACACGGCCCAGACUCCUACGGGAGGCAGCAGUGGGGAAUAUUGGACAAUGGGCGAAAGCCUGAUCCAGCAAUGCCGCGUGAGUGGUGAAGGCCUUAGGGUUGUAAAGCUCUUUUACCCGGGAUGAUAAUGACAGUACCGGGAGAAUAAGCUCCGGCUAACUUCGUGCCAGCAGCCGCCGUAA